CCAGGGGAUGGUCCUUACCAUAACUACUACAGUGAUUUGUAGUGGUUAUGGUGCUUGGAGUGUUCUUUUA